GGAAAGAAGGUGUGUGCCGCGAGAAUCGGCUGAAAAGCUGAAAUAAUUCUGAGCACUGACUUAUACGAUAUGCAAGUUUGUGUAUCUGAAUAUACCCUAAUAGGGAGUGUCAAAUGUGAGAACAAAAGAAGAGAACAUCAGAGAACAAAAGAAGAGUGAAGGAGAGGUUGUUUGGUUGUUUAUAAAGAACAUUAUUUAUAACGAACGAUUUGGUCGUCGAUGAAGAACAUCAGUGGCUAUAAUCAAUAACAAUACUACUUGGACAGUGCUCGAAAUCGACGUACUCAUUAUCGAAAUAUUGUUAGAAAAGUCUUGAAAUUUGAAAUAGGCUAUUUGAGAUACAUUAAAAAGAGACAAAUAAUUAUAAUGGAAAUACAAAAUUUGUCUGGAAAAGAAGUAGAGAGUAGC